CCUACGGGGGGCUGCAGUUAGGAAUUUUGGGCAAUGGGCGGAAGCCUGACCCAGCAACGCCGCGUGGGUGAUGAAGGCCCUCGGGUCGUAAAGCCCUUUUCCCAGGGAAGAUAGUGACGGUACCUGGGGAAUCAGCCCCGGCUAACUACGUGCCAGCAGCCGCGGUAAUACGUAGGGGGCAAGCGUUGUCCGGAUUUAUUGGGCGUAAAGCGCUCGCAGGUGGUUCGUUGCGUCGUGCGUGAAAGACCCUGGCUCAACUGGGGAGUGUCGUGCGAUACGGGCGGACUAGAGGCCAGUAGGGGGAUGCGGAAUUCCGGGUGUAGUGGUGGAAUGCGUAGAGAUCCGGAGGAACACCAGCGGCGAAGGCGGCAUCCUGGACUGGUCCUGACACUCAGGAGCGAAAGCGUGGGGAGCGAUCCGGAUUAGAUACCCCAGUAGUC
rnacentral:rRNA from 1 species